AUGGCUUGUAAUUUGGCAGUGGUAAUCUGGUUCGCGGACCAGGAAAUUCGCUUUCCGUUAGGUGGAUGGCUUGAAUCAUUCGCUGCAGGCCGGUGGCUCCCCGACUGCGGUAUCCAAAUCCAUUUCCAGUCAGCGGGGUGCUGCAGCGCACAUGACUCCAUUCCAGUGAUGGAGUUCCUAAUGCAGCCAAUUAGAAGGUAUCCUAUUGUGGAGGAGGUGAGUGAGAGUGAGCAGGAGAUGGAUCUGCCAGCGAACAGGGCGGUGACGACUUUCCUGAUAGAUGAACCAUCGGCGGCCUAUCCGCGUAGAUGUGUGAGUUACAGAACGUCGUGUUGGGAAGAUGGAAGAGCCCGUCGCAGCAGUCUGAACUAUCAACUGGUAAGAUGA
rnacentral:rRNA from 1 species